rnacentral:rRNA from 1 species
ACGGAGGGUGCAAGCGUUAUCCGGAUUCACUGGGUUUAAAGGGUGCGUAGGUGGGCAGGUAAGUCAGUGGUGAAAUCUCCGGGCUUAACCCGGAAACUGCCGUUGAUACUAUUUGUCUUGAAUAUUGUGGAGGUAAGCGGAAUAUGUCGUGUAGCGGUGAAAUGCUUAGAUAUGACAUAGAACACCAAUUGCGAAGGCAGCUGGCUAGACCUGCAUUGACGCUGAGGCACGAAAGCGUGGGGAGCGAACAGGA